GCUUGCUCCCUGAGAUUAGCGGCGGACGGGUGAGUAACACGUGGGUAACCUGCCUGUAAGACUGGGAUAACUUCGGGAAACCGGAGCUAAUACCGGAUAAUUUCUUUUCUCGCAUGAGGAAAGAUGGAAAGAUGGUUCUGCUAUCACUUACAGAUGGACCCGCGGCGCAUUAGCUAGUUGGUGAUGUAACGGCUCACCAGGCAGACGAUGCGUAGCCGACCUGAGAGGGUGAUCGGCCACACUUUUUUCUUUACACGGCCCAUACUCCUACGGGAGGCAGUCGAUCU
rnacentral:misc_RNA from 1 species